CCCGGGCCUUGUACACACCGCCCGUCACACCAUGGGAGUGGGUUGCACCAGAAGUAGGUAGGCUAACCGCAAGGGGGCCGCUUACCACGGUAGGAUUCGUGACUGGGGUG
rnacentral:rRNA from 1 species